rnacentral:ncRNA from 1 species
GCGGUACCGGUUCACGCCCACAGAGGCGACCCGGCGACC